ACGGUUACCUUGUUACGACUUCACCCCAGUCAUCGGAUCUGCCUUCGGCAGCUCCCCCCUUACGGUUGGGCCACUGACUUCGGGCAUUCCCAACUCCCAUGGUGUGACGGGCGGUGUGUACAAGACCCGGGAACGUAUUCACCGCGGCAUUCUGAUCCGCGAUUACUAGCGAUUCCGGCUUCAUGCAGCCGAGUUGCAGGCUGCAAUCCGAACUGGGGCGCUGUUUCUGGGGUUCGCUCCGCGUCGCCGCAUCGCAUCCCUCUGUUAACGCCAUUGUAGCACGUGUGUAGCCCAAGCCAUAAGGGGCAUGAUGAUUUGACGUCAUCCCCGCCUUCCUCCAGGUUGUCCCUGGCAGUCCCCACAGAGUGCCCGCCUCCACGCGCUGGCUACUGGGGGUAGGGGUUGCGCUCGUUGCGGGACUUAACCCAACAUCUC
rnacentral:rRNA from 1 species